rnacentral:rRNA from 2 species
UAGAAUUCCACGUGUAGCAGUGAAAUGCGUAGAGAUGUGGAGGAAUACCGAUGGCGAAGGCAGCCUCCUGGGAUAACACUGACGUUCAUGCUCGAAAGCGUGGGUAGCAAACAGGAUUAGAUACCCUGGUAGUCCACGCCCUAAACGAUGACAAUUAGCUGUUGGGACACUAGAUGUUUUAGUAGCGAAGCUAACGCGUGAAAUUGUCCGCCUGGGGAGUACGGCCGCAAGAUUAAAACUCAAAGGAAUUGACGGGGACCCGCACAAGCGGUGGAUGAUGUGGAUUAAUUCGAUGCAACGCGAAGAACCUUACCUGGUCUUGACAUGUACGGAAUCUCUUAGAGAUAGGAGAGUGCCUUCGGGAGCCGUAACACAGGUGCUGCAUGGCUGUCGUCAGCUCGUGUCGUGAGAUGUUGGGUUAAGUCCCGCAACGAGCGCAACCCUUGUCAUUAGUUGCCAUCAUUAAGUUGGGCACUCUAAUGAGACUGCCGGUGACAAACCGGAGGAAGGUGGGGAUGACGUCAAGUCCUCAUGGCCCUUAUGACCAGGGCUUCACACGUCAUACAAUGGUCGGUACAGAGGGUAGCGAAGCCGCGAGGUGAAGCCAAUCUCAGAAAGCCGAUCGUAGUCCGGAUUGCACUCUGCAACUCGAGUGCAUGAAGUCGGAAUCGCUAGUAAUCGCAGGUCAGCAUAC